rnacentral:rRNA from 1 species
AUACGUAGGGGGCGAGCGUUGUCCGGAAUGAUUGGGCGUAAAGGGCGCGUAGGCGGCGCGGUAAGUCUGGAGUGAAAGUCCUGCUUUCAAGGUGGGAAUUGCUUUGGAUACUGCCGCGCUUGAGUGCAGGAGAGGUUAUCGGAAUUCCCGGUGCAGCGGUGAAAUGCGUAGAGAUCGGGAGGAACACCAGUGGCGAAGGCGGGUAACUGGACUGCAACUGACGCUGAGGCGCGAAAGUGUGGGGAGCAAACAGGAUUAGAUGCCCUGGUAGUCCACACUGUAAACGAUGAAUGCUAGGUGUAGGUGGUAUCGACCCCUUCUGUGCCGCAGUCAACACAAUAAGCAUUCCGCCUGGGGAGUACGGCCGCAAGGUUGAAACUCAAAUGAAUUGACGGGG